rnacentral:rRNA from 1 species
AUUGAACGCUGGCGGUAUGCUUAACACAUGCAAGUCGAACGGUAGCAGGCCUUCGGGCGCUGACGAGUGGCGGACGGUGAGUAACGCGUAGGAAUCUGCCUCAUAGUGGGGGACAACGUGGGGAAACUCACGCUAAUACCGCAUACGCCCUACGGGGAAAGCGGGGGAGUCUUCGGACCUCGCGCUAUGAGAUGAGCCUGCGUUAGAUUAGCUAGUUGGUAGGGUAAAGGCCUACCAAGGCGACGAUCUAUAGCUGGUCUGAGAGGACGAUCAGCCACACUGGGACUGAGACACGGCCCAGACUCCUACGGGAGGCAGCAGUGGGGAAUAUUGGACAAUGGGCGCAAGCCUGAUCCAGCAAUACCGCGUGUGUGAAGAAGGCCUUAGGGUUGUAAAGCACUUUCAAUUGGGAGGAAAACCUAGUCGGUCAAUACCCGGCAGCUUGACAUACCUUUAGAAGAAGCACCGGCGUAAACUCCGUGCCAGCAGCCGCGGUAAU